GUUGCAAAAGAAGUAGGUAGCUUAACCUUCGGGAUGGCGAGUACCACUUUGUGAUUCAUGACUGGGGUGAAGUCGUAACAAGGUAACCGUAAGGGAACCUGCGGUUGGAUCACCUCCUUA
rnacentral:rRNA from 1 species